rnacentral:rRNA from 1 species
GACGAACGCUGGCGGCGUGCUUAACACAUGCAAGUCGAACGAUGAAGCCGGAGCUUGCUCUGGUGAAUUAGUGGCGAACGGGUGAGUAACACGUGAGUAACCUGCCCUUGACUCUGGGAUAACUGCUAGAAAUGGUAGCUAAUACCGGAUACGACCCUCGGCGGCAUCGCCAGGGGGUGGAAAGAAUUUCGGUCAAGGAUGGACUCGCGGCCUAUCAGCUAGUUGGUGAGGUAACGGCUCACCAAGGCGACGACGGGUAGCCGGCCUGAGAGGGUGACCGGCCACACUGGGACUGAGACACGGCCCAGACUCCUACGGGAGGCAGCAGUGGGGAAUAUUGCACAAUGGGCGCAAGCCUGAUGCAGCAACGCCGCGUGAGGGAUGACGGCCUUCGGGUUGUAAACCUCUUUUAGUAGGGAAGUAGCGAAAGUGACGGUACCUGCAGAAAAAGCACCGGCUAACUACGUGCCAGCAGCCGCCGCAG